CCUACGGGAGGCAGCAGUGGGGGAUAUUGCACAAUGGGGGGAAACCUGAUGCAGCGACGCCGCGUGGGUGAAGAAGCGCCUCGGCGCGUAAAGCCCUGUCAGCAGGGAAGAACAUGACGGUACCUGAAGAAGAAGCCCCGGCUAACUACGUGCCAGCAGCCGCGGUAAUACGUAGGGGGCAAGCGUUAUCCGGAUUUACUGGGUGGAAAGGGGGCGCAGACGGCGAUGCAAGCCAGGAGUGAAAGCCCGGGGCCCAACCCCGGGACUGCUCUUGGAACUGCGUGGCUGGAGUGCAGGAGGGGCAGGCGGAAUUCCUGGUGGAGCGGUGAAAUGCGUAGAUAUCAGGAGGAACACCGGUGGCGAAGGCGGCCUGCUGGACUGCAACUGACGUUGAGGCCCGAAAGCGUGGGGAGCAAACAGGAUUAGAUACCCCUGUAGUC
rnacentral:rRNA from 1 species